UCCAAUUAAGAAAAUGAGACUUCUGCUUGAAGGAAAGACUUAGAUAGGGUCAAUCAAAAUAUCAUAGAAGAUUUGUCAUUCAUUUUAUUUUUAUUUUUAUGGAGGCAAAAUAUUUCAAUAGCCUAGGAGAAGGGACAAGUACAUUUUUUUUGGCAGAAAAGAGAGAAUAAGAAAAGGCUUGAAGGAAAAUAAAAAAGAAAGGCUGAUUAUGUCUGGGGACCAGUAAGUAGUAAAUCUGGGAGGCAACCUGGAGUGCAGAAAUAUUAGUGAGAACUUAGACUUGAAACAGCGUAAAGCCUGAUUGUGGAGAGCUCUGGUUAAGGAGUAUGUAUUUAAUUCUUAAGCAAUGGAAGAGGACAGGGUUAGAUGUGUGACUUAAGUCUAUGACUCUGGUAAUGGGAAAAGCGUAUAUUAAAGUAGGAAAGACUGAAGGAAGUCAAAUAGCCUUGUCAUCUUCCAACAACCAUAGUCUAAAUUUAAGCAUCAGGCAGUAAGAGUAGAAAAGACGAGAGGUGUCACAGGACUAUGGAGGUAAAAUCAAUAUUCCUUUUCCGAGUUUGAAAUGAAGAUUCUAUUUUCAAUUAGCAUAAUAUAAUACAGAUGACAUAAAGGUUAUGAAAGAGAUAUUAAGAGACAUUUUUCUCUGCUAGUCUUUAUAACCCUGUAACAAAGGAAGCAUCAUAAAGUAAUUAAAUAAUGCACUCCAGGCAGGUCUAGCUCCAGAACCAUGACAGUUCAACAGAUUAGAUGAAAACAUUCUGGAAUUCAAUCUAACCACAUAUUCUGAUGGAUAUGUUGUCAAAUGAAAUUACAUUUAAAAAGCAAACAGUAACCACAAGGUGAUAAAAUGGCAAAUUCCCAGGGGUACAGGAAACUAAAAUUGAGCAAAGAAUAGUGUUUGAAACCAGCUGGAGUCCAGCCAGACUCUACUCAACUGCUAAUCUGUACUGCUCCCCUAGGGAUGAAGGCCAAAGAAUAGGAUCAAUAGAGGACAAUAGGAUCCAAGGAACAAACAUCAAGCAAAAACUUAAAAAAUGCAGACAAUUAAACUCAAGCUCUGAAAGAACUCAAAAAGAAAUUCAAAAAUCAAAUAAGACAGGAUGAAGAAAACUGGGAAAAGGAAAACAACUUAAAAAGCAAAAUUGGUCAUUUGGAUACAGAGGCAAAUGAAUUAAAAAAAAUAAUUCCUUAAAAGACAGAAUUGACCAACUGGAAAAUGAAGCAAAAAAAAAUCAAAU
rnacentral:lncRNA from 1 species